rnacentral:rRNA from 1 species
UACGGAGGGUGCGAGCGUUGUCCGGAUUUAUUGGGUUUAAAGGGUGCGUAGGUGGCUUUUUAAGUCAGUGGUGAAAUACAGCCGCUCAACGGUUGAGGUGCCAUUGAUACUGAAGAGCUUGAAACAAGUGGAGGCUGCCGGAAUGGAUGGUGUAGCGGUGAAAUGCAUAGAUAUCAUCCAGAACACCGAUUGCGAAGGCAGGUGGCUACGUUUUGAUUUGACACUGAGGCACGAAAGCAUGGGGAGCAAACAGG